rnacentral:rRNA from 1 species
GGGGAGUGGCAGACGGGUGAGUAACGCGUGGGAACAUACCCUUUCCUGCGGAAUAGCUCCGGGAAACUGGAAUUAAUACCGCAUACGCCCUACGGGGGAAAGAUUUAUCGGGGAAGGAUUGGCCCGCGUUGGAUUAGCUAGUUGGUGGGGUAAAGGCCUACCAAGGCGACGAUCCAUAGCUGGUCUGAGAGGAUGAUCAGCCACAUUGGGACUGAGACACGGCCCAAACUCCUACGGGAGGCAGCAGUGGGGAAUAUUGGACAAUGGGCGCAAGCCUGAUCCAGCCAUGCCGCGUGAGUGAUGAAGGCCUUAGGGUUGUAAAGCUCUUUCACCGGAGAAGAUAAUGACGGUAUCCGGAGAAGAAGCCCCGGCUAACUUCGUGCCAGCAGCCGCGGUAAUACGAAGGGGGCUAGCGUUGUUCGGAAUUACUGGCCGUAAAGCGCACGUAGGCGGAUAUUUAAGUCAGGGGUGAAAUCCCAGAGCUCAACUCUGGAACUGCCUUUGAUACUGGGUAUCUUGAG